CCCAGACAGAAAUAUGGAUCUAAACAAAGAAAUGAAGAACAACAGAAAUGACUCUUUCAAAAAUGAAGAGGAAUGAGACUGGGAUGAAGAGGAAUUUUACCAGGAACCAGAAAUGGGAAAGACCAAGCUUCAAUUGCUCCUCUGGCACUUGACAGCUACAAGAUCUUGGGCAAAUAAAUCAAUGUGUGAAGACUC